UGGGGAAUAUUGCACAAUGGAGGGAACUCUGAUGCAGCGACGCCGCGUGAACGAAGAAGGCUUUCGAGUCGUAAAGUUCUUUUAUAUGGGAAGAUAAUGACGGUACCAUAAGAAAAAGCCCCGGCUAACUACGUGCCAGCAGCCGCGGUAAUACGUAGGGGGCUAGCGUUGUCCGGAAUCACUGGGCGUAAAGGGUUCGCAGGCGGAAAUGCAAGUCAGGUGUAAAAGGCAGUAGCUUAACUUCUGUAAGCAUUUGAAACUGCAUAUCUUGAGAAGAGUAGAGGUAAGUGGAAUUUUUAGUGUAGCGGUGAAAUGCGUAGAUAUUAAAAAGAAUACCGGUGGCGAAGGCGACUUACUGGGCUCAUUCUGACGCUGAGGAACGAAAGCGUGGGUAGCAAACAGG
rnacentral:rRNA from 2 species